rnacentral:misc_RNA from 1 species
GAUGAAGAACGUAGCAAAAUGCGAUAAGUGACAUGAAUUGCAGAAUCCUGUGAAUCGUCGAAAUUUCGAACGCACUGCGCCCGGGAGAAAUCCCGGGCACGUCUGACCGAGUGACGCUAUUAUCACUUGCACAUCUCCAACAUACGUAUAAAAGCGGUUGGGGAAGCAGACUUUGUGGGCUUUGUGUAUUUGCACCAAAUAACACUCCCAUUUAAGCUAUUGCUGUGUAAAUCCCAUCACGUUGUGGGCAAGUAAAGGUCUCCGCCGCGAAUAUUACGUCUUUUGUGUUCCUGGCGGGUUCAUAUGUGUUAAUCUUGCCUUCCUGUGGUGGGUCUUUUGGCAGCCUUUUUUACAAGUGCAGAGACAACUGCUUUACAAAACACCAUAACCGUCCUCGGAUCAGGCGGGAUUACCCGCUGAACUUAAGCAUAUCAAUAAGCGGAGGA